GAAUCUGUAUUUUGGGUGAGGUUUUCCAAAGCCAGCAGAAGUAGUCUGGCUUUCCAAUUGUGCUGUUGGAAGUAAAACCACUGUGCAUUUCUAUGGGAGCUGUAUUCCAUGUGUUUUGCAAGCCCCGAUGUUUGCACAACAAUAGCAAUUUUCUAAAUGUUUCUGCUUCCCAAGGACCUCUAUCUAUCUGAAGAAACUUAAGAAACAAUCUGUUUGAAAUUUGGCAUGUCUGCUGAGUGAGAAAUGCCAGCGACUCUCCCAUGGCAAUAUACCGAGCUGACACCAGUAUAUUGCAGGAUCUUUGGAGAGACUGAAUAACAGGGUCUUACCAUGUGGCGAGUGGGAAUUUGCACAGGUGGGAGAGGAGUGCCAUCAUCUGAGGUCAAAUCUACACCCUGUUUACUUCAAUGUAGCAAUGCAUGUUGAGUAUGACAAGCAGAAUUGGGCUCGAUGUCUAACUAUUGAUUCUACUUGACAUUCAAUUAUCAAGACAUAGUUAAAUUCCACACAAGAAAAAGUCAGCACAACUAAUUAAGGAUAAUUUUGUUCUAAUCCAAAUAUUGGUCUAGAUGAUUCUCUCUGCUCUUUGUACAUAUUUGCAAAAAUAUUUAUUUUGUUCCAUUAUGGUUAACCUCUGAAGGCAGAGGCUGGGUUAGAAGUCAGCUGAUAAAGUGUACCCUUUCUGCAUGACCCAGAAGAGAAAUGGGAUUGUUACAUUCAUGGUAUCUGUCGUCUUUCCCUCUGGAAGGUGCCAUAAAUUCAACAUUGUUACUUAACCACAGCAUCACAGAGAAGGAGCAGAUGGGUUUCUGAGGGAGAAAAAUCAUCAUUUAGUGUUUAAAAACAUAUCUUUUUUAAUCAGAAACUAUGUCUGGAAAAAUGAUGAAAACAGGUAAAUAGCUACUUGUUAUAAUAGGCCAUAUUAAAACUCCCUGAAGUGAGUUAAGACAAUUUAUUUUAUCACUGAAUUGUGCUUUAAUGUAGGCUCCCAUAAAAACUGACUUAGACUUUUACACUGACUUGAGAGGAGUAUAUGCUAUGUUCAAUAACCCCUGUCAAAUAAAGGUAUGAACCUAAUUAAGCAAUAAAUCCAUAAAAAUUGUUACAGACAGUUAGUGAGUGGCUGGGAUUUUUAUAACAGCAAUAGAUUUUUAAAAAAGCAUUAGCUGUUAUAAUAUGGCUGGAGUAGUUGUACCGAUAAAUUAGUCAUUCUGGCAUUUCAUGACUAAUUUUAAUCACUCAGAGCUUCAGAGGUGUGCUUGGUUUAGAAUUCAUGCUAUUAUUCUUAAAUUCAGCAAAAAAAGUUAACCUAAAUAUCUGUCCAUAUUUGUAAGAUACUAACUGUAAAAAAAUAUUUAGUUUUUCCUGUUAAAGCUAUUGUUCUCAACACCACCACCAUCUCUGACUGAAAGAGAUCUGGGUUUAAUACCAGCAAGUUGAUACUGAAAUCACCAGUUUAUAGUUACAAAUUGUCACGUCAGCUUUUUUAACAAGAGUCAAAUAAAGAGGCAGCUCUGUGUAAUGUCUUAAUUUCAGGAAUAUGACAUUAGUUUCACCCAUAUACUCUGAUAUGAGUAAGUCAGCAAUAUGUCUAAACCUUAGUUCAAAAUUUGAAUUAAAUCAAAGGCAGAGCAUUAGUAGGAUUCUUUCCCUGCCCUGCCCUCCCCUCUUCUCUAAUUUAAUGACUAGAUGGGAUAGCUUGCUGCUCCUCUUUUGUUUUUUCUUUGUUUUUUAGGAAAACCUAUUAUUAUGGGCCUUUUCUUGUUGCGUGCUAAUCACAUUGAGCAGCACACACCUCCUGUUUAUUUCCCUGGCAAGCAGGGAAUUGCACACACUGCAGAUAGUGGAUUCCUCAUUUCUAGCACUAGCCAAUCUAACAGUCUUAGGGAAGCUGGAGACUACCAUCAGGGGCCCAAGAGGUGAUAGUCAGUUUGGGGCUAAUGACCUCCUCUGGGGUCAUGAACAGAAUUAGGUAAGUGAGAGUGGCUGCUGGUAGUUAGCAAGGGAGGGAGGAAGAUGGUUGCAGGCAGACAGAGAAUCAGAAGCAGCCCUGAGGAUUAUGCAGUCUCACAUCAGAGCAGACUUCACUGUUAAAUGACAAUUGUGUUUAGACCAGCAAACGUCUGUGAUGAAACUUCUCUAUUGUUCUGGGCUGACACAGUACUGUCUUUCCUAAAAUAGUAUUUCGGAUGUUGUUUUAUGUUAAUCAUAUGCCUUUAAGCCACUGCUUAAUGGAAUAAAGGACACCAAGCAAUAAUUCAAAAGCUGUAAAAAUGAAUGUCACAUAACCUAUGGUAUGUCUAUUCCUGCAAUACUUUCAACAGUGAGGAAAAACCAGGUGGUGUUUUUAUUUCUACCAGAUAAACAUAUGCAGCUGGUUUAGUAUGUGAUCUUAAAUAUAUGUAUGUGACUUGUACCUGUAGUAAUAUGCUUAGUAAUAAUACUUUAUACCCCUGCAGCACAUUUCAGAUGGAGAUAUAAAU